rnacentral:tRNA from 1 species
GCUCUCGUCGUUCAACGGAUAGGAUAGCCCCCUCCGAAGGGGCCGAUGACGGUUCGAUUCCGUCCGAGAGCACCA